AUUGAUGAGGAGGUAAGGUAGAUGUUGGAGUUGAAUGUAACUGAAAAGUCCAAGAGUGCCUGGUCAAGUCCCAUCAUCCUAGCAGACAAACCUGACAACACAAAUCAAAGGAGAAGACUGCCUCUGCCACUCCUGGAGGCCUUUGGCAAUACUGGGUGAUAACUUUGGUCUGUUUGGAGCUCCCGCCACCUUCCAGCGCUUGAUGGAUCAAGUACUUAAACCCCAUGGAGAAUAUGCAUCUACCUAUUUAGAUGAUGUUGUGAUUCAGAGAUUAGGAAAGCCACUUACCUUGUAUGCAGAGGGUUCUGCAGUCCCUCCAACAAGCAGGCUUGACAGCGAAUUUCAUGAAAUGUAUGCCCAGGAGCCAAAACUCUGUGCCACCCAGGACUGGCCAAAACCAUUGACAAAGUAGGUAAGAUCCUUUUUGGGGUUUGCGAAUUAUUACAGACAAUUCAUCCCUGACUUUGCUAUGGUAGCUGCCCCUCUCACAGAAGUGACAACAAAGAAACAUUCCCAGAUGGUGAAAUGGACCCUGGCUGCUGAAGAAGCGUUUGGCAACCUGAGGAGGGCCUUGUGUUCAAAACCAGUCCAUACUACCCCAGACUUCAGUAAGGAGUGCCUCUGAAGUAGGUCUGGGUGCUGUGCUAUCCCAGAUCAAUGAAGGCCGGGAUGGUACCAUGGAAACACAGAAGCCCUGUUUUGCCAUUAUGCCUUCUGGGCCUUGUUCACCCUGCUGAGGACAGGCCUGGGGAGAGGGAUAUCUGGCAUCACAAGGGGACAUGUAGUGCUAGAUACCCAUACAGGAGCGGUUGCCACACCACAAAAUUGCUGCUGUUGCACACACUACAUCUCCCAGAAUGCCUCACCACUCAGACAGGUGUAGGUGCUUAAGCAGGACUUGGAGACUUGACAGAGGCAGAACAAGGGGAGCAGUGGAACAGAUAGCACAUGGCUGGAAGUAGCUGGGCAAACACUUUGAAAAGACCACCUACAUUCAUGAAAGUACCUUAAUGACUACGAACUGUUCAAAUAGAAGAAGACCACUUAAUAGCUGAAAAUGUAGGAGCGAAAAUAUGAUGAGCGGGUAAAAACUGACACUUUAUGUUUUUGCAUAUUUUUUCUCCUCUGGGAUGUUUUAAGUUGGCUCUUGGACUUUGAUUUUAAUUGAAGAAAUUACCUGAGGUACCUGUUAAUAAAAUGC